rnacentral:rRNA from 1 species
UACGUAGGGGGCAAGCGUUGUCCGGAAUCAUUGGGCGUAAAGAGCGCGUAGGCGGUCCGGUAAGUCGGUUGUGAAAACUGGGGGCUCAACCCUCAGAGGCCGACCGAUACUGCCGGGCUAGAGUCCGGAAGAGGCGAGUGGAAUUUCUGGUGUAGCGGUGAAAUGCGCAGAUAUCAGGAGGAACACCAAUGGCGAAGGCAGCUCGCUGGGACGGUACUGACGCUGAGGCGCGAAAGCGUGGGGAGCAAACAGG